rnacentral:rRNA from 1 species
GACGAACGCUGGCGGCGUGCUUAACACAUGCAAGUCGAACGGAAAGGCCCUGCUUUUGUGGGGUGCUCGAGUGGCGAACGGGUGAGUAACACGUGAGUAACCUGCCCUUGACUUUGGGAUAACUUCAGGAAACUGGGGCUAAUACCGGAUAGGAGCUCCUGCUGCAUGGUGGGGGUUGGAAAGUUUCGGCGGGUGGGGAUGGACGCGCGGCUUAUCAGCUUGUUGGUGGGGUAAUGGCUUACCAAGGCUUUGACGGGUAGCCGGCCUGAGAGGGUGACCGGCCACAUUGGGCCUGAGAUACGGCCCAGACUCCUACGGGAGGCAGCAGUGGGGAAUAUUGCACAAUGGGCGGAAGCCUGAUGCAGCAACGCCGCGUGCGUGAUGACGGCCUUCGGGUUGUAAACCGCUUUCGCCUGUGACGAAGCUUGAGUGACGGUAAUGGGUAAAGAAGCACCGGCUAACUACGUG